rnacentral:rRNA from 1 species
AACGAACGCUGGCGGCGUGCCUAACACAUGCAAGUCGAACGGAGAUAAGGGGCUUGCCCCUUAUUUUAGUGGCGCACGGGUGAGUAACGCGUAGAUAAUCUGCCUGAUGAUCUGGGAUAACAGUUCGAAAGGACUGCUAAUAUCGGAUAAGCCCACGGGGUCUGUGGACUCUGCGGGAAAAGGGGGGGACCUUCGGGCCUUCUGUCAUCAGAUGAGUCUGCGUACCAUGAGCUAGUUGGUAGGGUAAUGGCCUACAAAGGCUACGAUGGUUAGCUGGUCUGAGAGGAUGAUCAGCAACACUGGAACUGAGACACGGUCCAGACUCCUACGGGAGGCAGCAGUGGGGAAUUUUGCGCAAGGGGCGAAAGCCUGACGCAGCAACGCCGCGUGAGUGAUGAAGGCUUUCGGGUCGUAAAGCUCUGUCAGAGGGAAAGAAGUGUAUUGUGGCUAAUAUCCACGAUACUUGACGGUACCCUCAAAGGAAGCACCGGCUAACUCUGUGCCAGCCGCCGCCGUAACAC